rnacentral:rRNA from 1 species
UUUAGCUUAUCGGUGGAUCACUCGGCUCGU